AACCUGCCUGUAAGACUGGGAUAACUCCGGGAAACCGGGGCUAAUACCGGAUGCUUGAUUGAACCGCAUGGUUCAAUCAUAAAAGGUGGCUUUUAGCUACCACUUACAGAUGGACCCGCGGCGCAUUAGCUAGUUGGUGAGGUAACGGCUCACCAAGGCGACGAUGCGUAGCCGACCUGAGAGGGUGAUCGGCCACACUGGGACUGAGACACGGACCAAACCUCUACGGGAGGCAGCAGUAGGGAAUCUUCCGCAAUGGACGAAAGUCUGACGGAGCAACGCCGCGUGAGUGAUGAAGGUUUUCGGAUCGUAAAACUCUGUUGUUAGGGAAGAACAAGUACCGUUCGAAUAGGGCGGUACCUUGACGGUACCUAACCAGAAAGCCACGGCUAACUACGUGCCAGCAGCCGCGGUAAUACGUAGGUGGCAAGCGUUGUCCGGAAUUAUUGGGCGUAAAGCGCGCGCAGGCGGUUUCUUAAGUCUGAUGUGAAAGCCCCCGGCUCAACCGGGGAGGGUCAUUGGAAACUGGGGAACUUGAGUGCAGAA
rnacentral:rRNA from 1 species